rnacentral:rRNA from 1 species
GGAGUUAGCCGGUGCUUCUUCUGUGAGUGAUGUCCUUCCUGCCGGCUAUUAACCCGCAGGCCUUCUUCCUCACUGAAAGUGCUUUACAACCCGAAGGCCUUCUUCACACACGCGGCAUGGCUGGAUCAGGGUUGCCCCCAUUGUCCAAUAUUCCCCACUGCUGCCUACCGUAGGAGUCUGGGCCGUGUCUCAGUCCCAGUGUGGCUGAUCAUCCUCUCAGACCAGCUACGGAUCGUCGCCUUGGUGAGCCGUUACCUCACCAACCAGCUAAUCCGACAUAGGCUCAUCCGAUAGCGCGAGGCCCGAAGGUCCCCCGCUUUCCCCCGUAGGGCGUAUGCGGUAUUAGCCUGGGUUUCCCCAGGUUAUCCCCCACUACCGGGCAGAUUCCUAUGCAUUACUCACCCGUCCGCCGCUCGCCACCAGGGAGCAAGCUCCCCGUGCUGCCGCUCGACUUGCAUGUGUUAGGCCUGCCGCCAGCGUUCAAUCUGAGCCAUAAUCAAACUCUA